rnacentral:lncRNA from 1 species
AUGAGUGACCACAAAAGUGCUAUGUCACAUUGUGCUUAGACGUUCUCAGUUUGUGAAAAAUUAUGAGGUUCAUGGAAAUGAAGAUGUCUAUUGAGAGAGGAAAUGGUCUCAUAUCUCAGUUUCUUUUAAGUGCUGCCAAAAGCAGAGCUGAACAGGAAGCCCAUGUUGUUAGUUAACAAGAUCAACCUUGCUGGGAAAUGAACAAGCGACCAG